rnacentral:rRNA from 1 species
AGGACGAACGCUGGCGGCGUGCUUAACACAUGCAAGUCGAGCGGUAAGGCCUUUCGGGGUACACGAGCGGCGAACGGGUGAGUAACACGUGGGUGAUCUGCCCUGCACUCUGGGAUAAGCCUGGGAAACUGGGUCUAAUACCGGAUAUGACCUGCUCUCGCAUGGGGGGUGGGUGGAAAGAUUUAUCGGUGCAGGAUGGGCCCGCGGCCUAUCAGCUUGUUGGUGGGGUAAUGGCCUACCAAGGCGACGACGGGUAGCCGACUGAGAGGGUGACCGGCCACACUGGGACUGAGACACGGCCCAGACUCCUACGGGAGCAGCAGGUGGGAAUAGUUGACACAAGUGGGACGAAAGCCUAGAUGCAGCGACGCCGCGGUGGAGGAUGGAAGGCCGUUCGGGUUACGUAAACCUCUUCAGCGAGGACGAAGCGACAAGGUCGACGGUACCUGACGAAGGAAGAACGACCGAACCGGUACCUAAACGUACGGU